rnacentral:rRNA from 1 species
CAGUAGCCACGGUAAUACAGAGGAUGCAGGCGUUAUCCGGAAUGAUUGGGCGUAAAGCGUCUGUAGGUGGCUUUUCAAGUCCGCUGCCAAGUUCCAGGGCUCAACCCUGGACAGGCGGUGGAAACUACCAAGCUAGAGUACGGUAGGGGCAGAGGGAAUUUCCAGUGGAGCGGUGAAAUGCGUUGAGAUCGGAAAGAACACCAACGGCGAAAGCACUCUGCUGGGCCGACACUGACACUGAGAGACGAAAGCUAGGGGAGCAAAUGGGAUUAGAUACCCCGGUAGUCCCUGUCUCUUAUAA